ensembl:lncRNA
CUAUUUAUAAAUUACUUUCAGUGCUAGAGUCUGAAACCAUUUUAACAGCUGUCGAUGUAACAGACUUUUGAUGUUUUUUAAUUACAGAAGCAGCUCAACUAACUGAGUGUCACAAUCAUACAGUGAUGGCAGAUUAUUAGCAUCAUAUCUGCUCUGAUGAAUGGACUUCUUUUCAUUGUACUGAUCGGGCUAUUAAAUGUUUUUGUUGGAAUCAGAAGGUCAGCAGAACAAUCACAACUCAACACUGAUCUACAGCAGACACAAGUUACAGAACAACAUCUGGACCGUUUACUCUUAAAAAACUGUGAAUCCAUCCUUAUCACUAAAAUUAAUUUCUGUCUUGAUAAUUAUUAAGAAUUCUUGCUGACCUGCAGAAAAGCUUUCUUUUUUCAUCUGCAGAUGAAAUUUAAUAUUGCUCUUUCAGUAUGCUAUGGUGGACUUUUCUAAACUGUAUAAAAAUAUUUUGUCGAGCUUUGUCAACAGUACCUAUACUGCUCUAAACCUACUACUCUGAAAUAUUUUUGGGGUUUUGAAACUGGGGUCUGCGGGAAAGUUCCUUCCCCCUUAGAUUUUAAAAGAAAUAUUUUAAUAAUUGGGUGUCACAUUUCCAUGUUCAUGGUUCUGUGAUGUUCUAUGAUGUUCCAUGACAUGCAGGUAAACAAAUAACUUUUCAGUAAGUGUAAUUUUUUAAUAAAUGUUAUUUUAAAAUGAAUUAUUUAAAUUAAAUAUUUUUAUUAUAUAAUUAAUUAUCUGUUUUUCAUUAAGUAAAUAUGUUAGGUGAAAGAGGUUUGGCUGACCAAAAAAUAAAUAAAUAAAAUAAAUAAAUAAAUAAAUAAUCUGCAUUACGUGUAAAUAAGAAACGUAAUUUGUGCAUUUUAAUGUGUUUGAAAGACAAAGGCCUUCUAAAGGCAUGAUUAAAUAACCCUCUGAGUGUUAAUUCAAAUAAAAAUUCAAUCAGUAGUUGAUAUAAAAUAUAUAUAUAUAUAUAUAAAAAGUUAGUCAAUGUAAUGUUAAAAUGCUAAGAAAACACUUCUUAAAACCGAAAUGAUUUCUGUAAAUUCAGUGUUUAAAUGCUUUGCAGCCUCUCAAAUGUGUUUAAUUAUAACCACCUGACUAGUGACUGGUCUUUUUGUGAAUGUCAAAAAAAAAAACAACAACAACAACAAAAAAAAAAAACACAUACAGAAGACUGUAUAUACUGUAAAUGGUAGCACUUUUAAAAUGUAAAAAUUUUAUUUAUAAGAUGAAAAGAUGAAAAAGAAGAAUUAGUGAGACUGAAUAAAUUAUGAAUACAUUAUUGCUAUUGAGUGGAUAAUGUGUAAUCAUGUAAUCAAUAAAAAGCAACUGUAGUCUGAUUCCGAGUAUUUUAAAAUUUAAUUUAAUCUAAUUACAAGUACUUAAUUUUUAGAAUCUGAUUAAAUAAUCCAGAUUACAUGUAAUCAGUUACUACCCAGCUCUGUCUAUAUUUCAUUCUGCUUUCUAAAGAUUAGUUGGAAGUCUUGAGAUUAAUUACAACUGUUUUAUUGAACCAACACUUAUAGUUUUAUACUUUGUAUUUUAGUGGGUUUCACAAGUGAAUCAUCAUAUGUUGGUGUUGGUGGCAUCAAAACAUUUAAAAACAUCUCCUGCUUCAAAACAAAUGUGUGUUUAGGAACUUAUAUUUACUAGUUGGUCUCUUUGUCAUCUGAAGACUUUUGUUUUGGAAUUCAUGUCUUAAUCUGUAUCUGCUGAAAAUUUGUGGAUAUUUCUUUUUCUACCACUUUGACAUUGAAUUAAGAGUGUGCACAUUAAUAUUAAUAUUUUUGUGAAGCCUGACUGGUUGAGUUUUCCAUGCUGUCGGACCAAGAAGAGGCUACAUUUUGUAGGAAAUAGACUGAUGUUUAUUUUAUCAAGAUCUUUUAAUCGACAAUUUUUUUAGUAAUCAGUUAAAUUACUAUAAGAUAAUAAAGUUUGAUAGUGUGAAAUGUCAUUUCUUGUCAACCUACUUUUCUCUAACUCAGUUUUUUUUGUGUGUGUGUGUGUGUGUGUGUGUGUGUGUGCCUUUGUUUGCCUGUGUUAUAACAAAAUGACACACCUCAAAUUUGUUGUCAUAAUUUAUAAAAUAAUGUAUUAAUGAAUGAAUAAAUAAACAAACAAACUACUCACUGUUACUUUCAAUUCCUCUAAACUGAAGUGCUAAACCAAAACCAAAAACAUGUUCCACUGGCUUUGACACUUGACAACCAUCAGCCAACGACUCUCACCUUUGUCUACAGUGGAGGUUUAACUGUGAAACAAGUGCAGUGUUUUUCCAAUACCUUCAUGUUUAUAAAAUUCUCACAGUCGUCUUAACCUCAAAUGAAAAAAAAAAACAGCAUUGCAGUUCAUCUGCUUUCAUUGUUUACUAGAUUUACACGUUUAGUGCACAUUUAGCACUUGUCAGGUUCACCCAAAAAUGAAAAUUUGCUGUAAAUUUACUCACCCUCAGGCCAUGCAAGAUGUUUUUUUCUUCAGUAGAGUUGUAAAAAAACAUUUUUAGCUGAAACAAUUAUCCUUGGUGAUUAAUAAAAUGCUAAUCAGCAGCUAUCAGCUAUUGAGAGUCAUAAAAGCAUAUCAGGG